rnacentral:rRNA from 1 species
UACAGAGGGGGCAAGCGUUGUUCGGAAUUACUGGGCGUAAAGGGUGCGUAGGCGGCGCGGUAAGUCGGGUGUGAAAUCUCGGAGCUUAACUCCGAAACUGCAUUCGAAUACUGCCGUGCUUGAGGACUGGAGAGGAGACUGGAAUUUACGGUGUAGCGGUGAAAUGCGUAGAUAAUCGUAAGGAAGACCAGUGGCGAAGGCGGGUCUCUGGACAGUUCCUGACGCUGAGGCACG